CGAAAGCGAGUUUUAACUGAGCGUUCAGUUACUUGACGUAGACCCGAAACCGGGCGACCUACCCAUGAGCAGGAUGAAGCGAAAGUAAAAUUUCGUGGAGGUCCGAACCCACGAGCGUUGAAAAGCUCGGGGAUGACUUGUGGGUAGCGGUGAAAUUCCAAUCGAGCCCGGAGAUAGCUGGUUCUCCCCGAAAUAGCUUUAGGGCUAGCCUCAAGGUGAGAGAUACGGAGGUAGAGCACUGAAUGUCCUAGGGGGUAUUGCACCUACCGAAGACUAUCAAACUCCGAAUGCCGUCAUCUUAUACUUGGGAGUCAGACUGUGGGUGAUAAGAUUCAUAGUCGAAAGGGCAACAGCCCAGAUCGUCAGCUAAGGUCCCUAAAUGUAAGUUAAGUGGUAAAGGAUGUGGGAUUGCACAGACAACCAGGAUGUUGGCUUAGAAGCAGCCACUCAUUCAAAGAGUGCGUAAUAGCUCACUGGUCGAGUGAUCCUGCGCCGAAGAUUUCCGGGGCUAAAACUUACUACCGAAGCUACGGCAUCAUUAUGAUGGGUAGGGGAGCUUCCCAUACGGGUUGAAGCAUGACCGUAAGGACAUGUGGACAGUAUGGGAGUGAGAAUGUUGGCAUGAGUAGCGAGAUGUGGGUGAGAAUCCCACAGGCCGUAAACCCAAGGUUUCCAGGGGAAGGUUCGUCCGCCCUGGGUUAGUCGGGACCUAAGCUGAGGCCGAAAGGCGUAGGUGAUGGACAACAGGUUGAUAUUCCUGUACUACCGAUAACCGUUUGAGAGAAGGGAUGACACAGUAGGAUAAGCUAAGCACACUGUUGGUUAUGUGUGCCCAAGCAUUGAGGCAGUCAAAGUAGGCAAAUCCGCUUUGAUAAUGCUGGGAUGUGAUGGGGAGCGAAAUUUAGUAGCGAAGUAGCUGAUUUCACACUGUCAAGAAAAGUCUCUAUCGAGGUUAAAGGUACCCGUACCGCAAACCGACACAGGUGGGUGAGGAGAGUAUCCUAAGGCCAGCGAGAGAACUGUUGUUAAGGAACUCGGCAAAAUGACCCCGUAACUUAGGGAUAAGGGGUGCCACCAUCAGGUGGCCGCAGAGAAUAGGCCCAAGCGACUGUUUA
rnacentral:rRNA from 1 species